rnacentral:lncRNA from 1 species
UCAUUCCUUUGACUUAGAGUUAGAGGGAGAUAACUUACACUCAAUAUUUUUCAGCGAGAUUUAAAAAGUGAUUGAUUUGAAUUAAAAAGUGACAGUGUGUUGCUGAAAAAUAUCGAGAGUGAGUUAACUCCCGUUGGAACAAGAAAUGAAUCAUUUUAAAAGGGAGAAAAGCAGUUUUCUUACUGUUUUAAAUCUGCACGGUCACGGUAGGCCCAUUUGGAUUCACAGUUAGUUCAGUUGUUGCC